rnacentral:rRNA from 1 species
GCAUCGAUGAAGAACGCAGCGAAUUGCGAUAAGUAAUGUGAAUUGCAGAAUUAUGUGAAUCAUCGAAUUUUUGAACGCACAUUGCACCUUUCAAGAUUUUCUUGUAAGGUAUGUCUGUUCGAGCGCCGAUAAAAAAGUAAGAAAAAUAUAAAUUUUUCUCGUGUUGAGUAUCACCAGAUAAAUGGUAUCUCUUAAAUCAUCAGGGAUAAAGAUGUCCGAGUAACGCAACAAACUGUGCUAUGAAGAUUGCUUUCUCCCUUUGAAAGCCCUUUUUAUCGAAUUCUCGGCCUCGAAUCAGAUAGGGAUACCCGCUGAACUUAAGCAUAUCAAUAAGCGGAGGA